UAAUACCGCAUACGCCCUUCGGGGGAAAGAUUUAUCGGAGAAGGAUUAGCCCGCGUUACAUUAGGUAGUUGGUGGGGUAAUGGCCUACCAAGCCUACCAUCUAUAACUGGUUUUAGAGGAUGAUCAGCCCCACUGGGACUGAGACACAGCCCAGACUCCUACGGGAGGCAGCAGUGAGGAAUCUUAGACAAUGGGCGCAAGCAUGAUCUAGCCAUGCCGCGUGUGAUGAUGAAGGCCUUAGGGUCGUAAAGCACUUUCGCCAGAGAUGAUAAUGACAGUAUCUGGUAAAGAAACCCCGGCUAACUCCGUGCCAGCAGCCGCGGUAAUACGGAGGGGGUUAGCGUUGUUCGGAAUUACUGGGCGUAAAGCGCACGUAGGCGGACCAGCAAGUUGGGGGUGAAAUCCCCAGGCUCAACCCCGGAACUGCCUCCAAAACUGUUGGUCUUGAGUUCGAGAGAGGUGAGUGGAAUUCCGAGUGUAGAGGUGAAAUUCGUAGAUAUUCGGAGGAACACCAGUGGCGAAGGCGGCUCACUGGCUCGAUACUGACGCUGAGGUGCGAAAGUGUGGGGAGCAAACAGGAUUAGAUACCCUGGUAGUCCACACCGUAAACGAUGAAUGCCAGUCGUCGGGUUGCAUGCAAUUCGGUGACACACCUAACGGAUUAAGCAUUCCGCCUGGGGAGUACGGUCGCAAGAUUAAAACUCAAAGGAAUUGACGGGGGCCCGCACAAGCGGUGGAGCAUGUGGUUUAAUUCAAAGCAACGCGCAGAACCUUACCAACCCUUGACAUCCUGUGCUACAUCCAGAGAUGGACGGUUCCCUUCGGGGACGCAGUGACAGGUGCUGCAAGGGCUGUCGUCCAGCUCGUGUCGGGAGAUGUUCGGUUAAGUCCGGCAACGAGCGCAACCCACAUCUUCAGUUGCCAGCAGUUCGGCUGGGCACUCUGGAGAAACUGCCCGUGAUAAGCGGAAGGAAGCUGCGGAUGACGUCAAGUCCUCAUGGCCCUUACGGGUUGGGCUACACACGUGCUACAAUCGUAUCUACAAUGGGUUAAUCCCCAAAAGAUAUCUCAGUCCGGAUUGUCGUCUGCAACUCGACGGCAUGAAGUCCGAAUCGCUAGUAAUCGCGUAACAGCAUGACGCGGUGAAUACGUUCCCGGGCCUUGUACACACCGCCCGUC
rnacentral:rRNA from 1 species